UGGGAGCGGGCUCCCCACCCCAGUCCGCCCCUCUAAAUCCCCCAGCCUCCUCCCCGCGCCCCCGGCCCUUUCCUCCAGCCCAGCCCGGCCCCGUUUUCUCCGGGCGUGGACCCAGUUCCCCUCCCCGAGGCACCGGGCGCAUCCCGCCCCCGCCCUGGAGGGAAGAUGCACGUGAACAAAGCGAAUCGGGGGAGGCCGAAACGGCAGAAAAAGGCAACAAGACAGAGGGAAAGAGCAUGGAUGUCAGGAAGCAGUCGAGAGAAGGGAGGAUUGCCCUCUGGCUGGCCAGAAGGGGUCAGGAGCAUCAUGUGGUUUCUGCCCUUCUGGAAUAUAUUGUCUAGCUGCGAAGGAAAGAACAUGGAAAGAUGGAGGGAAAGAAGGAGGAGGAGAAGAAAGAGGAGG